rnacentral:rRNA from 1 species
AACGAACGCUGGCGGCAUGCCUAACACAUGUAAGUCGAACGAGACCUUCGGGUCUAGUGGCGCACGGGUGCGUAACGCGUGGGAACCUGCCCUUAGGUUCGGAAUAACUCCCCGAAAGGGGUGCUAAUACCGGAUAAUGUCUUCGGACCAAAGAUUUAUCGCCUUUGGAUGGGCCCGCGUUGGAUUAGCUAGUUGGUAGGGUAAAAGCCUACCAAGGCGACGAUCCAUAGCUGGUCUGAGAGGAUGAUCAACCACACUGGGACUGAGACACGGCCCAGACUCCUACGGGAGGCAGCAGUGGGGAAUAUUGGACAAUGGGCGAAAGCCUGAUCCAGCAAUGCCGCGUGAGUGAUGAAGGCCUUAGGGUUGUAAAGCUCUUUUACCCGGGAUGAUAAUGACAGUACCGGGAGAAUAAGCUCCGGCUAACUCCGUG